UACGAAGGGGGGCUAGCGUUGUUCGGAAUUACUGGGCGUAAAGCGCACGUAGGCGGAUAUUUAAGUCAGGGGUGAAAUCCCCAGAGCUCAACUCUGGAACUGCCUUUGAUACUGGGUAUCUUGAGUAUGGAAGAGGUAAGUGGAAUUGCGAGUGUAGAGGUGAAAUUCGUAGAUAUUCGCAGGAACACCAGUGGCGAAGGCGGCUUACUGGUCCAUAACUGACGCUGAGGUGCGAAAGCGUGGGGAGCAAACAGG
rnacentral:rRNA from 1 species